GGCGGGAUGGCAUGGACCCAACAGCAAGGACAUCAAUCAUGAUGGAUUCAACCAGUCUGCUCGAUCAUUGGAUGACAUAAUAUGCUUAUGAUGUGGGUUAAUGGAGGUACUCUAGCUCCAACCAAACUACGGCUAGUCCAACCUUCGGUCAUGGUUCACUAUUCUUCAAUCUUAGUGCUGCAUAUUCCUAUUUUAAUAUACUUGGUGCAUAAAAUUAAUGAUUCAGAAAAAUAAUUUUUUCUUUGUUACAAACAAAUCUGCAACUCUCCCAGAUAAAAGAUUACUACUAAAAGAGAACAACUAUUAGUCUUGGUAGGUGAAGUCAGAUUGUGUACUGACAUUGUUGUAAUCUCUGUAUCCUAUUUCUUGCCGCUUUUUGUGUUAUUUUGGUUACACAGAAUGGCCAUGUUUAUCUGAAAUUUGUUUUGUCAAUUGCCUUUAAAUUAACAAAUCAGGGUAAUAAAUAGAAUGUGUCUGUUCCAUUACCCACAACUGUACCGUUAUCUACUAUUGAAUAGUUGGAUCAAUACACUUCUCGUAAUCUUUUGUUGUAGAAGAGCAAAGUUCUACGUGCUUAUAACUUGCCCCUUCUCUCUGUAGAAUUAACUACACAUGGAGGUUUGAGGAAGAGCUGGCUGGGCGAAUUCGUUGGUUGGCUCAACCGGCGAACGAUACAGACACUCCGGCAAGAUCGAGCCAACGGCUGG
rnacentral:lncRNA from 1 species